UACGUAGGGUCCGAGCGUUGUCCGGAAUCAUUGGGCGUAAAGAGCGUGUAGGCGGCCUUUUAAGUCCUGCGUGAAAUCCUGCGGCUCAACCGCAGACGGUCGUGGGAAACUGGAAGGCUAGAGUGCGGAAGAGGAGAGUGGGAUUCCCGGUGUAGCGGUGAAAUGCGCAGAUAUCGGGAAGAACACCCGUGGCGAAGGCGGCUCUCUGGAACGCAACUGACGCUGAGACGCGAAAGCGUGGGAAGCAAACAGG
rnacentral:rRNA from 1 species